UUGAAGUAUAUAAAAAAAAAAGUAUAAAUAAAUUCCAAGAUAUUAAAAUCAUGACUUCUGCAAUAAUUUAGAAGGUAAGAUAAUUCAGAAAAUCGAUGACCGUCAUAAAUUAAAGAUAAAUGUAUAUUAAUUGUUGUUCGAUAAUUUAUGAACGUAAAUUUAAGAGUUCGCGGGUUAAAUAGUGGCGCGCAGUCAGUAGCAUGACGUCAGCUUUGCUACGUGAAGUUAAUCGCGCGAGAAACGCAACCACUUCAUACCAUUGCAUUUGCGUAUUCUUUUCAGAACGCCGCGGACGCAGAACAGAUCGAUUGGAAUGAGUGGCAUUGCGGAUCGUUUAAUUGAACGUGUCAAUAAUCAAGAGCCGGAUCGAUUGGGGGAUGAAUUUCAUCGCGAUGUCUAACUGAACGCGGUGGACGCACGGUGGACCGCCUCCAGAAUGAUUGGCAUCGCACAUCAUAUAAUUGAUUGUUGUAUAUUCUACAACUGUGCAUCGUGUGCGUGUGCGAGAACCUGAAAUGGAACGUUGACUAAUUAUGAGGAGGCGAUAGAAGUUUGAAAACUCAAACAGAGGAGGCCUAGGAAAGGUAUUAGGUACAUACCGGUGGAGCAACUUUGGGUUGACGUAUUCUUGUCGCCGAUUUAAUUGAAAAUAAACGAACCGCAGCCGGUUCGUCGCGUCGUGCGUUUUAUUUCGGGAGUGCCGUUUAAGUUAUCGGACUAAAACUUUUGUGAAUAAUUAGUCCGCGCGCGAUUAUAAUAUAUUGUCGCGGGUGUUUUUCGCGAGUGUGCAACGGAAAAAAGAAGAAAAGAUUUGACAAUCCAAAUGUCUUGAGAGGAGGAGGAGGUCUAGGAGAGACAUCGGGCCCCGGCGGAGCAACUUUGGGUAUCAUCGCAGCUUCGUGGCUGAUAAACUCCGCUCGUUGCGCAUCGAAUCG